UGCGUAGGCAGCAAGCGUUGUUCGGAGUUACUGGGCGUAAAGAGUGCGUAGGCGGUCCUGUAAGUUUGGUGUGAAAUCUCCCGGCUCAACUGGGAGGGUGCGCCGAAGACUGCAGGGCUUGAGUAUGGGAGAGGUAAGCGGAAUUCCUGGUGUAGCGGUGAAAUGCGUAGAUAUCAGGAGGAACACCUGUGGUGUAGACAGCUUACUGGACCAUAACUGACGCUGAGGCACGAAAGCGUGGGGAGCAAACAGG
rnacentral:rRNA from 1 species